rnacentral:rRNA from 1 species
CCGUAGCAAUACGGAGUGGCAGACGGGUGAGUAACACGUGGGAACGUACCCUUUGGUUCGGAACAACACAGGGAAACUUGUGCUAAUACCGGAUAAGCCCUUACGGGGAAAGAUUUAUCGCCAAAGGAUCGGCCCGCGUCUGAUUAGCUUGUUGGUGAGGUAACGGCUCACCAAGGCUACGAUCAGUAGCUGGUCUGAGAGGAUGAUCAGCCACACUGGGACUGAGACACGGCCCAG